rnacentral:misc_RNA from 1 species
AAGACUAUAGACCUGCGGAGUACCUGCGGAGGGAUCAUUAUUGAUUUUUAACAGGAUGUGCUGGCUCUCAAGGGGGCAAUGUGCACUCCUAAUAAAACCAAUAUCCACCUGUGCACCUUAAGUAGACUAGUAGGACUCAUCACAGUCUUUCCAGUCUAUGUUCCUUCACAAACCUUUUGAAAUGUAAAUGAAUGAUCAUCUGUAUAAUUAAUAACAACUUUCAACAACGGAUCUCUAGAU